CCUGGCGGCCGUAGCGCGGUGGUCCCACCUGACCCCAUGCCGAACUCAUAAGUGAAACGCCGUAGCGCCGAUGGUAGUGUGGGGUCUCCCCAUGCGAGAGUAGGGAACUGCCAGGC
rnacentral:rRNA from 1 species